rnacentral:rRNA from 1 species
UACGGAGGGGGCUAGCGUUGUUCGGAAUUACUGGGCGUAAAGGGUGCGUAGGCGGCCGGGUAAGUCUGAUGUGAAAUCCCGCAGCUCAACUGCGGAACUGCAUCGGAUACUCUCCGGCUAGAGGAAUGGAGGGGAGACUGGAAUUCUCGGUGUAGCAGUGAAAUGCGUAGAUAUCGAGAGGAACACCAGUGGCGAAGGCGAGUCUCUGGACAUUUCCUAACGCUGAGGCACGAAAGCCAGGGGAGCAAACGGG